UACGUAGGGGGCGAGCGUUGUCCGGAUUUAUUGGGCGUAAAGAGCUCGUAGGCGGUUUGGUAAGUCGGGUGUGAAACCUCCAGGCUCAACCUGGAGACGCCACCCGAUACUGCCAUGACUUGAGUCUGGUAGGGGACCACGGAAUUCCUGGUGUAGCGGUGAAAUGCGCAGAUAUCAGGAGGAACACCGGUGGCGAAGGCGGGUCUCUGGGCCGAUACUGACGCUGAGGAGCGAAAGCGUGGGGAGCGAACAGG
rnacentral:rRNA from 1 species